rnacentral:lncRNA from 1 species
GUUUGUCUUUUAAUCAGCAUCCAUGAAAAUUCAUUAAAAGGUCUAAUACGAAAAGCACCAGGCUAACAAAUCAGUCCUGAAUUCAAUUUUACAAAAACACCCUCUCCUCUUCCAUCUCAUCCCUAAUAUUCCCACGUUAUCUCGAGGUACAGAGAAAUAUAAAAGGGAUCCUUGACAUAAAAACGUAUUAAAAAGCCACCAUGAGUAGAAUGUACGGUAACAGCAUCUGACUCGGCCGGCAGGACAGGAAACCUACAGAGCCACCAUGCCAGAGCUUUGUGUGAGCAGGCGGGCACUCCACAUGGGCACGUGUGUGAGCAGGCGGGCACUCCACAUGGGCACGUGUGAGCAGGCGG